CAGUCGUACCGGCGGAUAAUCAGCCUUUCGGGUGCGAUUCUGUGAGGCGUGAGGAGCUUAACCGCCUUCAUGUUUUGCAUAUUCGUGCACAUUUGGUGUACUUGUCCGUGUGGUGGGUUAACAUCAAUUUCGGUCGUCAUAAAAUGAUUGGAGAAUGUAGCUUUGAUCUCGUAUCGAAGUGUUAUAGACUCUGGUAGAUGUGGUGAACGAACUGAGGAUUGC
rnacentral:rRNA from 1 species